GCGUCCUGCCAGGCAGCAGUGCUGCUACCGCCCGCGCCUCUUUCUCCUCCCGAGGCGUGCAAAUGCAAGCCUCUCUCCUCCCCACCCCCCUUCCCCCCUCAGACCCGUCGCCCAUCCCCAGCGCCUCCCUCUCGCCCAGGGACCCGAAGCAAAGUGUCUAGCCACUGCAUAACAAAUUGGCAGCUCAAAAUGGAUUGUCUGGAAAGGCCCUUAAGGAAAUAAAAGCAACACCUCAUCUGAGGGAGCAGCAGGAAAAUUCAGGAGCAGUGAAAGGCCUUUCCCUUGAGGGCCUAACAAUCCUUCUGGUUUCCAGUCAUGUGAAGCAGAGGGUAGCCUGGGAGAGGGAAUGUUCCAAGACUGCGAAGAUUUGGACUCUGGUCUGGACAAAAGUAAAGCAAAUGCCCUGGAAAAGAAGGCAUCUCUUUUAAAAGGAGCAUCUGUCAUUUAGCUCAUGACUUGGGUGAUGCUUUGGAUGAUGUCAUUGGAAUCUUGAUGCCACACAGUGAAACAACCUGUUUUGCAUUUAUCCAAGUUUCUGUAUGAACAAACAGCUACUUUUCAAGAAAAUACACAUGGGCUUGGCAACAGAGUUAUCUAUGUUUCUGUGGGUGAGGACAUCAUUGACCUUCUGCUUCCUUUGAGGCGCCACCUAGAAAUGUAGCAGCCCGACCAGAAGGCUGGCUAUGACGUUUUCAGGAAGAGAGUCUUUAGUUUCCCUCCUACCCACAAAGAAAGAUUGCCACUGCUUAAGAAUAUCAGCGUUCACCUUUCUUCCCUUCCCAUCUGUAGUCUUUUAGUGAAUCAGAGAAAAAGGAGAUAAGUCACCCACUGGGAAGACUCUUCAGUAGCUAUCACUCUCCCCUUUCAUACUGAUUGGCUCCUAGGGACAUCUGUGGUAGUGGUGGAAGGCAUUGACAAGGAUUUCAUUCUCAACCCAGCAGCAAAAAGAAAAAGGGAGAGGGUGUGUGGCUGUGACUAUGAUGAAAGGACUCAGCACUUCUGAAUUUGCCACUACAUGACUGGUUAGGAUUGUGCUGUUGGUAAAGCUUGACUAGCAAAUAUAUCCAUAUCAAAGCAGGGUUGGCAACCCCCUUGCCUGGAAUGCCCAUCCCCUGCCUUUUAAUGUGGCUUCUCCAAACUUCUUUAUAGACUUGACCUUUCACUGCAGAGAAAAGUUUGAGAAAUGAGUAAGAGUUAAGAAGAUUCUCUACCCUUUCCUGCCUACCCUGUGGGCUGCUAUAAUCUCACUUUGACAGCUAACCCAAUUCCAGUGAGCAAUAAUGGACAGAGACAAAACACACAUGGUUUGGUCUACCUUCACAGGCAGCAGUUUUGGAACAACAGCAGUUGGUGCCACACUUCCCAAUAUGUCAAUUCUCUUUUACCACUAUUGGGCAAGAAACAAACAGUCAUCCAACCAACAUGGUGCAUCACCAGUGGAGUUAAGGGAGUUGAGCUGAGCACAUGGAACCACUGUUGUUGCUUCUAUGGAUGCAAGGGAAUGAGGUGAGAGGUAAAUGAAAUGCAGAUAGAAAAAGAAAGAAAAGGCAAUGAUGAUUUCCUAAGUGCAAUACCAUACCAACUACAACAAGAUUCCUGUGAGUAAGGCAGAAAACUCAGCAUCCCACAACCAGUCAGGGUUCCUAACCAAAAACCAAAACUAAAAAAACCUGUCAGCCGGUCAACCAAAGUCACAGAAACCCCCAUGCAGCACACCCUGACCCGAGGGCUGCAGUCAGUGCAGAAUGCUGCAGCAUGAUUGCUGACAUGAGUGAAACUCUGUCAGAACAUAAUUCCUUUGCUUUGAAAUCUGCACUGGUUGCUGAUUUGCUUCCAGGCCAAGUUCAAGGUAUGCUUUUCUUGUUACUAGUACCACAUAGUAUUUGUUCUGCUCUUGUAAGAAAGUUGAUCCUUUAGUGUGGCAGCACCUACGCUUUGGAACUCCCUGCCUAUUGAUAUUAGGCAGGCAAUAUCAUUCAUUAUACUUUUUUUGGCACUUGCUGAAAACAUUUUUGUUUAGGCAGCCUCCCCAGGCAUGUAGAAGCUAUUAUGCUUUUUAUCUGUUUUUAACUCAUUGUUGGUUUUAUCAUUUUGAAAGUUUUUAAAUACCUGCCUUUAACUGUUUUUGCCAAUAAUUUUAUUGUUUUAAUUCCUUCUGUAAACUGCU